rnacentral:rRNA from 1 species
GAGGAAGGCUGGCGGCGUGCCUAAUACAUGCAAGUCGAGCGAACAGAUGAGGAGCUUGCUCCUCUGACGUUAGCGGCGGACGGGUGAGUAACACGUGGAUAACCUACCUAUAAGACUGGGAUAACUUCGGGAAACCGGAGCUAAUACCGGAUAAUAUAUUGAACCGCAUGGUUCAAUAGUGAAAGACGGUUUUGCUGUCACUUAUAGAUGGAUCCGCGCCGCAUUAGCUAGUUGGUAAGGUAACGGCUUACCAAGGCAACGAUGCGUAGCCGACCUGAGAGGGUGAUCGGCCACACUGGAACUGAGACACGGUCCAGACUCCUACGGGAGGCAGCAGUAGGGAAUCUUCCGCAAUGGGCGAAAGCCUGACGGAGCAACGCCGCGUGAGUGAUGAAGGUCUUCGGAUCGUAAAACUCUGUUAUUAGGGAAGAACAAAUGUGUAAGUAACUAUGCACGUCUUGACGGUACCUAAUCAGAAAGCCACGGCUAACUACGUG